CCUACGGGAGGCUGCAGUGGGGAAUAUUGCACAAUGGGGGAAACCCUGAUGCAGCGACGCCGCGUGAGUGAAGAAGUCAUUCGUUAUGUAAAGCUCUAUUAGCAGGGAAGAAAAUGACGGUACCUGAGUAAGACGCCCCGGCUAACUACGUACCAGCAGCCGCGGUACUACGGAGGGGGCAAGCUUUAUCCGGAUUUACUGGGUGUAAGGGGAGCGUAGACGGUAGGGCAAGUCUGGGGGGAAAGGCGGGGGCUCAACGCGCGGACUGCUCUGGAAACUGUACGGCUGGAGUGCAGGCGAGGUAAGUGGAAUGUCUGGUGUAGCGGUGAAAUGCAUAGAUAUUAGACAGAACACCAAUGGCGAAGGCAGCUUAC
rnacentral:rRNA from 1 species